GCCGGCGUAGCUCAGGUAGUUAGAGCACAUCACUCAUAAAGAUGAGGUCCCAAGUGCAAAUCUUGGCGUCGGCACAA
rnacentral:tRNA from 1 species